UGACAAUUUCUCCGGAAUCUCUGUAAACCAUUGAUGAUAACCAUUGAACCCCUUUUUGCUGAUGGCUGUGGAUUAGUU
ensembl:snoRNA